UACGUAGGGGGCUAGCGUUGUCCGGAAUCAUUGGGCGUAAAGCGCGUGUAGGCGGUCCGGUAAGUCCGCUGUGAAAGUCGGGGGCUCAACCCUCGAAAGCCGGUGGAUACUGUCGGACUAGAGUGCGGAAGAGGCGAGUGGAAUUCCUGGUGUAGCGGUGAAAUGCGCAGAUAUCAGGAGGAACACCAGCGGCGAAGGCGGCGCUCUGGGCUGGAACUGACGCUGAGGAGCGAAAGCGUGGGGAGCGAACAGG
rnacentral:rRNA from 1 species